CAGGGCAUGCUUGAUAACCACGGCCUUAAAGCCGAGCCCCUUCAGGCGGGCGGUGCGGAUAUAUUGCUGCGUCAUCACCUCGACCAUCGAGGCCCGCGUCAUGCGCGCAAUAUAACCGAUGCCGUAUAUGGCCAUGGUCAUGACCGGCAAAGUGAAAUUGUAGAAGG
rnacentral:ncRNA from 1 species